UGUGUGUGUGUGUGUGUGUGUGUGUGUGUGUGUGUGUGUGUGUGUGUGUGUUUUACACACACACACACACACACACACACACACACACACAGAGAAGGGGAAAUGAGACGGGUGGGGAUGCAGUGGCAGAGGGAAGAGUCAGGUUAGGUCUGCCCCUCCCUCCACACACCCUUCCCAUUUCCCCUUCUGUG